CCUACGGGAGGCAGCAGUGGGGAAUAUUGCACAAUGGGGGGAACCCUGAUGCAGCGACGCCGCGUGAGUGAAGAAGUCUUUCGGUAUGUAAAGCUCUAUCAGCCGGGAAGAAGAUGACGGUACCUGACUAAUUAGCCCCGGCUAACUACGUGCCAGCAGCCGCGGGAAUACGUAGGGGGCAGGCGGUAUACGGAUUUACUGGGUGUAAAGGGAGCGUAGACGGGAGGGCAAGGCUGGUGUGAAAGCCAGGGGGCCAACCCCGGGACUGCGUUGGAAACUGCCGUGCUGGAGUGCUGGAGAGGUAAGCGGAAUUCCUGGUGUAGCGGUGAAAUGCGUAGAUAUUAGGAGGAACACCGGUGGCGAAGGCGGCUUACUGGACAGUAACUGACGUUGAGGCUCGAAAGCGUGGGGAGCAAACAGGAUUAGAUACCCCGGUAGUC
rnacentral:rRNA from 1 species